GUGACCCCAGGUCAGGGGGGGACACCCGCUGA
rnacentral:rRNA from 1 species